CCUACGGGAGGCAGCAGUGGGGAAUCUUGCGCAAUGGGCGAAAGCCUGACGCAGCCAUGCCGCGUGAAUGAUGAAGGUCUUAGGAUUGUAAAAAUUCUUUCACCGGGGACGAUAAUGACGGUACCCCGGAGAAGAAGCCCCCGGCUAACUUCGUGCCAGCAGCCGCGGUAAUACGAAGGGGGCUAGCGUUGCUCGGAAUUACUGGGCGUAAAGGGAGCGUAGGCGGAUAGUUUAGUCAGAGGUGAAAGCCCAGGGCUCAACCUUGGAAUUGCCUUUGAUACUGGCUAUCUUGAGUAUGGGAGAGGUUAGCGGAACUCCGAGUGUAGAGGUGAAAUUCGUAGAUAUUCGGAAGAACACCAGUGGCGAAGGCGGCUAACUGGCCCAUUACUGACGCUGAGGCUCGAAAGCGUGGGGAGCAAACAGGAUUAGAUACCCCUGGUAGUCCACGCCGUAAACGAUGAGUGCUAGUUGUCGGCAUGCAUGCAUGUCGGUGACGCAGCUACGACAUUAAGACACCUCCGCCGUCGGGGAGGUACGGUCGCGAGAGUAAACUACGAAGAAGUAGACGCGNGAGACGUGCGACGACGACGACGAGGGAGAGG
rnacentral:rRNA from 1 species